rnacentral:tRNA from 1 species
GCCCUUAUAGUUUAAGAAAAAUUUUAAUUUUGUAAAUUAAAGAUGUUAUCUAAGGGUA